CAAUAGCGUAUAUUUAAGUUGUUGCAGUUAAAAAGCUCGUAGUUGGAUUUCGGUUAAGAGCGACCGGUCCGCCGUUUGGUGUGCACUGGUUGGUUUUAACUUCCUGUAGAGGACGUGCUCUGGGUUUAACGACCUGGACUCGGAGUCUACGUGGUUACUUUGAAAAAAUUAGAGUGUUCAAAGCGGGCUUACGCUUGAAUAUUUCAGCAUGGAAUAACACUAUAGGACUCCUGUCCUAUUUCGUUGGUCUCGGGACGGGAGUAAUGAUUAAGAGGAACAGUUGGGGGCAUUCGUAUUUCAUUGUCAGAGGUGAAAUUCUUGGAUUUAUGAAAGACGAACUUCUGCGAAAGCAUUUGCCAAGGAUGUUUUCACUAA
rnacentral:rRNA from 1 species